GAUAAGCACGCUUGGAGGCUCUCAAACACUAGCUGGCAGGCUCUGACAUUCCAAGUCACAGUUCAGGUCUGAUGGGAAACCGGUCCAGUGAGCUGACUGGAUGAGAGCAGAGCCAACCUCAGGGAAUGCUGUGACGGGGCAGGGUAAGCUGCUACUCCAUCCCCUUCUGGUGGCUUGGCUUCAUUUCUCUGGUGCAAAAGCCUCAGCUGUCCCUGGCUGUUCCUGCCCCCAGGCCCUUCCCUCCAUGCCAGACCUGGGCCGGUCUUGAUUUAUCCAGUGACUUUGCUUUUGAUUUUUUUUUCUGCCCCCUUUCUCCUCAUUAAUCUUGUUAAUAUUUUCCUCGGCAGAUGGCAUGGUAGGGUAGAAAGAAUCACGGCCUUUGGACUCAGUCUUGGAUAGCAAUGUGGGUCCUUUGGCUUAUAACAAUGGGGACUUGGGUGAGUUACUUGAUUUUCCUCAGCCUUAGUUUUCUUACCUCUGAGAUGGGUGCAAUUUGUAAUAUAUAGCAUUAUUGAGAGAAUCAGAUGACAUAUAAAGUGUACCUCCAAAGAACCCCCCCAAGAAACGUUAUUGCUUCUUUCCUGUCCCAUCUUACCUUACCUGCCCAUUAGAAUCUGGGGAAUUUAAAAUAUGUGCAGAUGCCAGGGGGCCACCCCACCCCUCACUGGGAAUCGUACUCUAAAAGCUCCUCGGGUGACUGUGUGAGACUCCCCCGGCCCUGAGGCGCUGCUGUUACUGUGCUCAGUGUUUCUUCUAUUCCCAUCCCACCGGACCUGACUCCCAAAGUCAAGCUGUCUCCCGUGUUCUAAUCUGACAAAUAGGGGAUGACUCAGGUUGUGUGUGCUGGAUUCCUCCCCUGUGUCCUGGAUAUUUGUUUUUGUUAGUGCCUUGACAGGAAUAGGGCCAUAUUCUCUUCUGGCUCUAAAGUGAGGGGAGAGGGUGGAUAAGAUUUUCUGAAAUGCUGUGGCAGAGAUCACCGGCUGAGUAGGAGACAUUCUCUGGGAUGCUGGCUGAGCAUCAGAAGGGUCAGGAGUUUUACGUCUCUGGUCACACACCCAUCCUGUGAGGCUGAUCUGUCAGUAUUCUCUGAGGAUACGUUGCAGAGCUCACCACUCCAUGUCUUCAUUGUUUUACACACAUCCGUCCUUCUGGAGCCUUCGUGGAGCCUCAGUCGUCCUUCCAGCAAGGAAAGGAGACAACGCCCGUGAUAGCACCUAGUCUGGGUGGGACCGCUGAUCAAGGGAUUCCAUCAUUCCUCGGUCGGAAGAUGGUCGCCCAGCUCAGCAGGCCAUGAGACGAUUGUCCCAGGGAACUUGGAUGGAGAGAGGACACACACAGGGACUGAAACUAGUUGAACUCACUUCCUUCAACGGGGAUACCUGGAAGUUAAUAUCCGUAUUUUUUCCUGGUAUCUAGAUUUUUGAACCACCUUGAUUUUUUUUUUCUCCCUUCCAAGAUUUGGUCAUUCAGCCGUUGGGUUGGUUCUGUGAAGUGUCUGCAGACCACUUUAUUUGGUUACCCUUAGAGAUGUAAACUGAAGCUUGGAGAGGUCCGGCAACUUGGCUAGAGUCACAGAGCUGCAGGUAAUAAGAUCCUUUAAUUCAUUCUUGGAAAAAGAGGCCACAGCUGUCCUGUCAUAAAUGUUCUGUGAGAAGUGACAUUUGAAGCUGCAGCAGCCAUCUUGCUGCUCUGAGGGGAAAGAGAAGGCCAGGAGAAUCCCAGGGAAGGUGAAGCAGAUCCCUGCCACCCCCGAGCGGCUGCACCAACUUGGGAGCUUCUCCUCCAGCCUUUCUGAUAAGUGUGAUAGAGUGAUCAUCCCUUGUUGCCUAAAGCACAUUUUGGGAGAUAUUCUGUUACUUUCUACGUGAUUUCACAUAUCAUGUUUACAUGGCCUUUGUGUUUUUCUCUAUUCUGUAAGUUAUAGGGAGCAUAGUAAGUUGUAGUGAGAGAUGAUCUUAUACCCAACUUUGUAUCCUUGGUGUUUAGCAUAGAGUAUGCACUCAGUAAAUAUUCACUCAAGUAUUUAUUUUUCCAUAAUUUUUCCACCAAGAGCUAUAAUAAACAGUAUGUGCCAGAUAAUAUCUGUCCCAUUUAGAAGAUAGCCCCGGAAUGUUGGGGAGUGGGAAAUAGGUCAAUGAAUCUUACAUGGGUAACUCCAUGGGGAAUUUACGGGAAUGAAGGAUCUGAUACAAAUGCUAUGUCGUUUCAGUGGAAUUGACAAGUGUUAUUCAGAUAGUUUAUUCAGGCCUUAUGAAAGCUUAUAACAAAGCCCAGCAUGUAUGUCAAAGUGUGGUACAUUGGUUGAGGAAAGGAAGGGGUGGUGGAUGCUUACAGUGUGCCAGGCCUUUCUCAUCUCCUGUUGUGGUCUUUGGCCCUGUCACCUGGCUCAGUGGGACAGAAGUUAUAGCUGCUUCCAUAAUCUUGAAGUCAUCAAAUCUCUUAGACUUCUUUUGGUCCUUAGCUGCUGCCCAAACUCUGUUAUUAAAAGUUGGAGGUUGCCCUAGCUUCUUGGAGGCUUGUGAGAUUCCAUUUUUAUUGAAAUGUUUCAAGCAUUACACUAGCUUUGCUAAAAAUGGUGCAGCAAAUCAAAAAGGCACAGUUACUUCGGAGAAUCCAUCUGGCAGCCCCAGUCCUCUAAGCACAUACAUUUAAUUUUAUGGUUUGUUACACAAAUCAAUAGAAUUUGUUGUAUCAGAGGGAGCCCAUGUAUUUAUUCUGGAACCCCCUGUAAACUAAGAGCGGACAUUCUUAUAUGGGCUUUGGUCUGGUUUUUCUUAUUAAUAAGGGAGGAAAAUCACUUUAGAUUUCCAUAUUGACUCACAGAGGAGUGAUUCCCCUUUUCACAUUUGCACAUCCAUGCAAACUUAAUCCUAAUCUCCUCAGGUCUCAGUAACUGAAAUUUAGAUGGUGAAGUUAGAUCUCCACGUGCCGGAGAGCCUCAGAGUCUGGGACCUCAGCAGCUAGAGAAGUGACCCAGGUGACAGUACUGUUACGGUGGACGUUUGUGUGGGGGUGGGGAGGAGGAUGCUGUGGCGAUAACAUUGUGCCCAGACCUGUGUUAAUGAACCCCUCGAAGAUGAGGCCUAAUGUCUGAGUGUGUGUGUGUUUUAAGGAGAGGGGGUUAGAUUACAUUUUCAUUUUUUUAUGACCACCAGUUCGCUUCCCUUUAGUUUCAGAGAAAUAAAUUUAAGUCUCUCAGCCCGGAUGAAUUUGGAAUCCACAGCUAACAAGCUACUCUAUAUCCUGAAACUCUUGGCUGAGUUUCCCCUCACCUCUAUGGCUUGCCUGAAUCCUGUCCUUUUUCCAAGGAAACAGCGUUCUUGAAGCCCCCUCUAUGCCAGUCUCUUCUUCUCCCUUACCCUGUGCAAGCCAGGACAGAAAGAUUCCUUUGUUUCCUUUUUAAUCAACAAUAGAACUUUGUGAACUUUACACUGUUUCCUUCAUUUGAUAGCACCCAUGCCAUCCCUCACCCACCCACCCACUCAUUCACCCAAAAGAUAUUGGUUUAGCACUUUCUGUCUGCCAGGUAUUGCUCUAGGAGCUGAGGAUACAGUGGUGAAUGAGCCAGGCAUGUCCCUGUUGUCACAGUGUUUACAUUUUAGCCUGGAGGACAAUAAAAAUAAAUUCUAAAUAUAGCAUCAGAUAGUGAAAGGGCUCUGAAGAGAAAUGGUGGCAGUGUGAGAACGGGCCUCUCUGGCCUCAUCCUGCAGGGUGUGUGAUGAUGGCGAGCACUCCAGAAGCUGUUUUCUGAAACCCAUCACAGAGUCCGACUGGGACCAUGCUUGUCAGGGCUGCUCCCCACCGGUACCGAAGCCUGUCAGGGCCACUAAGAUCAUCACAAGCCUUGAUGGUGGGAAACUCUAGCUUGCGUACUCUCUAAAGGACCUGCCCACAUUUUCUUGGAAGUGCACUGUAGCCUAAGACUUCUCACCACCUCCCCUCCCCUCGCCCCUUCACACAGGAGCAGACCUUCACUGCACCUGCUGGCCCUCCAAGCCCAGGCCUCUUCCCUCCUUUUAUCACCUCUCAUGUUUCCCUUGAUAACAUUGUGCCUUCUUAUCCCAUCUUGGCAUGUGCUUCUCGGUGGACCUGGCCUAACACAAGAGCAAUGCAGCCUGAAAGAAGAGGAUGUGACCUGGGAUGGGAGCUACUGCAGUGCCGGAGGUUGGGAAGUCCAAGAUCAUUGUGCCAGAAGAUUUGAUUCCUGGGGAUGGACCUUUCCUGGUUUGCCUUCUCUCUGUGUUCUCACAUGGCAAAGAGAGAGAGCGAGCAAGUUUUGGCAUAGUGAAGAAACAAAGGCAGCAAAUGUAUGAGUCAACAUUUUCCAGAAAAACAGAAACAAUGGGCUACACACAGAUACUCGUAUCUCUGCCACACACCAUCUCCACUCCAGGGUGCAGAUGAAUGGAGUGCUUAGUCUGGAACAUUGCUGGCCUCAUGGCAGAGAUAAAAAAGAUCAUGGUGAAACAUGUGCUGAUUCUGAACUCUUCUGCCUGAAAAUGACGCACAUCACUGCUUUCACAUUUCAUUGGCUGAAUCAAGUCAUGUGGCUAGGCCUGGGCAUCAGUGGGAGUGAGGAAAUAUAAUCCUUUCUCAGGAGAAGCAGCAAAUACUUGGCAAUGAUGGUGGUCUACCACAGGAGGUUACUGUAAUAAUCAAGGCAAAAAUGAAGCUAGCAGUUGAGGUGGUAAAAAUAACUAGUAUUUGGGACAGAGCUGGAUGGGUGGACUUGCUGCUUGAGCAAAUGUGAAGUAUGAAAGAAAGAAGAGGGAUUUGAUCUGAGCACCUUGGUGAAUGGUGGUAUCAUUUGCUGAGUUGGAGAAAACUGAAAGGGGUAGGUUUAAGUGGAAAAAUUAGGAAUUCUAUUUUGGAUAUAUUGGGCUUGAGAUUCCUAAUCAGAGAUAUACUGGGCUUGAAGAUAAGAAUUUGGGAGUCAUUAGCAUUGAGACUGCCUCUGAAUCCAUGGGACUGGAUGAGAUCAAACACAGGAAACAGGAAAGCUGGGACUGAACUGAGGGCAUGUCAGCAUACAAAGGGGAACCAAGCAAAGGACAGAGGGAAGAACCAGACUGGGAGGAGGGACACAAGGCAUGUGGGAUGGCCCAGAAGCCAAGGGGACAUGUAUUUCAUGAAGAGAAGACUUGACGGUGUCAGCUGCUGCUGAGAUACUGAAUACGAUGACAAUUAAAAUCCACUGUUAGAUUCAGCCAGCAGGCGCCGGUGACUUGACAAGCCAUUGGUGACUUGGGGGAGGAAGUCUUAAUCGGAAUGGGUUGAGAGCACACAUGUCCUGAUUCAAAGUCUAGUGCCUCCUUUGGUUUGCUACACUUCAUGGAAACUUCUCAUGUAGGGAGUGGAGUUGUUGAAAAUGUUAUGGAAUCAAAGUAUUUGUACCUUAUUCUUUGGCUCACUCAGCCUGGGGGAAUAACCUCCUAAAAACUUGAGUACAAGCAUCUAAUCAUAACUGAUUCACUGCCUUUUCUUCCAUGAACGUAUAGAAUAAAAUGUGUGCAGAAAUCUGUUUCUCUAUAGGCCCUAGGCCAAGUCUCCAUAAAUGAUGGGGCAUAUUGUAAAUUUGUUAUCCCCUUUAACCAUGGAGACACAAGGGGAGGCAGGCAAAUAGGAUUGGGAAAAAUAGAAGCAUCUUGUUUACUGUCCAGCAUCGAGAACAGGAAAUAAAACCUGCUUCCAACAGCAAAACAUUGAAUUAAAUGAGGUAGUUUUACUCCUGCAUAAUGCUCCAAGGGGCAUUUCAAAGCAAUAAACCCAAUAGCAGAGCCUAUGAAACAAAGAGAAAAGGGAAGGGAAAUGUACAAUUGUUACCGUGUAUGUUUUUGUUUGGCCUGUGUGGCAUGGCUACCAACAACUGUUUCUGGUUGUGCAUAAGAUUUUCCCUGGACACCUGGGAGGACGAGAUGUCAUCUCUGUGCCUUAGCCUCAGGUACUGGUACAUCCAAAGCAAGCCAGGUUGCUAAGGCCAGGACAGCGAGGCUGGGGGGUGUUUUCUAUAAAGUUCAAACACUUCCAACAUUUUCCAAAGAUGGCUGUGAUUCUUGCUUCUUAUUAUUGUGUGCUCCCAGUCAAGGGCAAUAUUCCAAAUAUGUAAUAACUAGUAAAGAAUAGGUCCUGACUAAUGGGAAUAGACACCAGACCAAUCAGAAUAGAGGCUACCUGUACCCAACAUGUUAGGUGAACAGUAGGCUUGUCCUCCAUGACUAGUGAAAAGAGCAUGGGCGCUCAGUUUAAUCUUGAAUGUUUCUUUGAAUCCCUUGUAGCUCUGUGUCUUUGGGCAAGUUCAAGCUUUGCUGUGCUCAUUUUCCUCAUAUUUAAACAAAGAGAAUAAUAUUUCCUUGUGAAGUUAUUUUGAAAAAUGACAUGAAAUGUGUUUCAGUUGUCUACUGCGAUCUAACCAAUCACUCAAAACCUCGUGGCUUAAAGCAACAGUGGUUUAUCAUGGCUCAUGAUUAGUUGGGUCAAGAACCCAGGCAGGACCUGAAUGAGCAGUUCUGCUCCCGUGGUGUGUCCUGUGCAUUCAGCUGGAGGCUGGGCCAGGCUGGAAGGUCCAGGAAGGCCUCACGCAUGUCUGGCACUUCCCUGCUGCCCUACACAGUCUCUUGCUUGCCACAUGGUAUCUCCUCAUGCAGGAAUCUGAGUUUCUUUAAAAUGUAGUGGCUGGCUGCUCAGAGCCAGAGAGAGGAGGAGGCUGCCUGGUAUCUUUAAAUUUCACCCCAGAACUGGCACAUCAUCACUUCUUCCCUGCUCUAAAGGACAAGGCAAAUCAUGAGGCUGGCAAGAUUCAAGGAGGAGGGAGACAGACCCAGGCCAGGGGAAGAUGGAGGCAAAGACAGAGUGCUGCCGGCCUGGGCCCAGGAAGGCCAGUGCUGCCUGAUGCUGGAAGAGGCAGGGGAGGGUUCUUCCCUCCGAGCCGAGGCCCUUGGGAGGAGCACAGCCCUGUCUGAAGCCUUGGUUUCGGACUUCCGGCCUCC